rnacentral:rRNA from 1 species
UACGGAGGGUGCAAACGUUGCUCGGAAUCAUUGGGCGUAAAGCGCACGUAGGCGGUUUGUUAAGUCAGGGGUGAAAGCCCCGGGCUCAACCUGGGAACCGCGCUUGAGACUGGCACGCUCGAGUUCGGGAGAGGAUGGUGGAAUUCCCAGUGUAGAGGUGAAAUUCGUAGAUAUUGGGAAGAACACCGAUGGCGAAGGCAGCCAUCUGGACCGACACUGACGCUGAGGCGCGAAAGCGUGGGGAGCAAACGGAUUGAGAUAC